CUCCAUUAAUUUACUUUGAUUUUGUAGGUUUCCCCAUGAUAUCUGAAAAUAAUAACGGGUAAAAGUUUCCGACUUCAUGUCUACACUUGGGAUGCAAAUAAACUGGAGUUAAAUUACAAACAAAAAAGAAAAAAAACAGAAAAAAAGUAAACUGAAUUUUAGAACCAGUGCCAUAGCAGUUGGGUGGCCAACGUCUCUGAUUGUACUCUAAGUCCAACUACUCCCAAUAUUCGUUGUUGUUAAUAUUUAGUUAUUUACUACUGCAGUUACCCAUCGAUUGGUAGCAGCUGUGCCAGUGUUUAUCUUAAAUUAGUAAUGUUCACUAAAAAC
rnacentral:lncRNA from 1 species